CGCUGGGUAGCUAUGUGCGGACGGGAUAAGUGCUGAAAGCAUCUAAGCAUGAAGCCCCCCNCGAGAUGAGAUUUCCCAUUCGUAAGAAGUAAGAUCCCUCAGAGACGAUGAGGUAGAUAGGUCUGAGGUGGAAGCGUAGCGAUACGUGGAGCUGACAGAUACUAAUCGAUCGAGGACUUAACCA
rnacentral:rRNA from 1 species